UACGGAGGAUGCGAGCGUUAUCCGGAUUUAUUGGGUUUAAAGGGUGCGUAGGCGGCAUUAUAAGUUAGUGGUAAAAUAUUGGGGCUUCACCUCACUACGCCAUUAAUACUGUAGAGCUAGAGAACAGACGAGGUAGGCGGAAUAAGUUAAGUAGCGGUGAAAUGCAUAGAUAUCACACAGAACACCGAUUGCGAAGGCAGCUUACAAAUCUAUAUCGGACGCUGAGGCACGAAAGCGUGGGGAGCAAACAGG
rnacentral:rRNA from 1 species